UAGGGAAUCUUCGGCAAUGGGGGCAACCCUGACCGAGCAACGCCGCGUGAGUGAAGAAGGUUUUCGGAUCGUAAAGCUCUGUUGUAAGAGAAGAACGUGUGUGAGAGUGGAAAGUUCACACAGUGACGGUAACUUACCAGAAAGGGACGGCUAACUACGUGCCAGCAGCCGCGGUAAUACGUAGGUCCCGAGCGUUGUCCGGAUUAAUUGGGCGUAAAGCGAGCGCAGGCGGUUUAAUAAGUCUGAAGUUAAAGGCAGUGGCUUAACCAUUGUUCGCUUUGGAAACUGGUAGACUUGAGUGAAGAAGGGGAGAGUGGAAUUCCAUGUGUAGCGGUGAAAUGCGUAGAUAUAUGGAGGAACACCGGUGGCGAAAGCGGCUCUCUGGUCUGUAACUGACGCUGAGGCUCGAAAGCGUGGGGAGCAAACAGG
rnacentral:rRNA from 1 species